rnacentral:rRNA from 1 species
GAUGAACGCUGGCGGCGUGCCUAAUACAUGCAAGUCGAGCGAACGGACGAGAAGCUUGCUUCUCUGAUGUUAGCGGCGGACGGGUGAGUAACACGUGGAUAACCUACCUAUAAGACUGGGAUAACUUCGGGAAACCGGAGCUAAUACCGGAUAAUAUUUUGAACCGCAUGGUUCAAAAGUGAAAGACGGUCUUGCUGUCACUUAUAGAUGGAUCCGCGCUGCAUUAGCUAGUUGGUAAGGUAACGGCUUACCAAGGCAACGAUGCAUAGCCGACCUGAGAGGGUGAGCCGGCACGCGAGAGCGGAGGGCCAGACCGGGCUCGUGCGAGGGGCCACAGUCGGGAGUGUGGCAGCAGGGGCGAAAGCCUGACGAAGCGACGACGCGUGAGUGAUGAAGGUCGUCGGAGCGAAAAACGCUGUUGGUUGGGAAGAACAUAUGUGUAAGUAACUGUCCAGAGCUAGGCGAUACCUAAUCAGAGAGCCGCGGCUAUCUGCG